GACAGUUUCUACAAAACUCAUGUUUUAUUUUCUUUUAAAGUUCAUAUCUCGUUGGUCAUUGUAGUAUUAUGACCAUAAUCCUUUACGGUUUUCUUAAAACUUUUAGGUUCUUUCCAUGUUGUUAGAGCUGCAACAAAAUUUUGAUGUCUAGUGGUAAAUCAUUCAUUAUUUACAAAGUGGAUAAUAGGAUAAUGAAUACCUUAGGCAUGUUGUUGAGAAAAUGAUUUUUUCAAGGACUUUACUUUUCUAAUAACAUAAGUGACAAAAUCUUUAUAUUUUGUUGAUGGAAUUUUCCUUCUCAUCCUCUUCUCUCUUUUUCUCGAUAUUUUCUUCUUACACUACCAUAACAUCAUCUUCGUCAACUCCAUUUGCAAAUACUAACUUACCAACCACACCACUUACAUUUUCUCCUUCAUUUUCAUUAUAGUCUUCACAGAAUCCCCCUUGAAGUUGUGACUCCUCUUCUCCUUGCAAGGCCAUUGAUGUCUCCCCCCCCCCCCCCUAAGAAAAUUUAUGUUCGUAAAAUUUCACAUCUUUAGAGACAAAGUAUUCAUAAGAUUCCAAAUCAUACAAUUUCUCUAUAGGGGUAUCCAUAAAAACAAACUUUUGACUUAUAUUGGAAAAAUCAUCUCAAUCACGAUGUUGUUGAUGUGUAUAACAUAAGAAACCAAAAAUUUUAAUGUUAUCAAACCUAAGUGGUUCAUCAUAUAAAUUUUCACAAUGUGUCAAAUAAUUAAGCACAUUAGACGGUGUGCAAUUAAUUAAAUGAUAAGUUGCUAACACACAUUCUUCCAAAAACUGCACUGGUAAAUUAUCUUGAAAUCUGAGUGCUUGUGCCAAAGUGUUAAGCU
rnacentral:lncRNA from 1 species